UACAGAGACUGCAAGCGUUAUUCGGAUUCACUGGGCGUAAAGGGUGCGCAGGCGGCCAAGUGUGUGAGGCGUGAAAGCCUGGAGCUUAACUCCAGAAUUGCACCUCAAACUACUUGGCUGGAGCAUUGGAGAGGGUAGCAGAAUUCACGGUGUAGCAGUGAAAUGCGUAGAUAUCGUGAGGAAUACCAGAGGCGAAGGCGGCUACCUGGACAAUUGCUGACGCUCAGGCACGAAAGCGUGGGGAGCAAAAGGG
rnacentral:rRNA from 1 species